UUGCUUGAAAGACAGAUGCUUGGUUUUGAGUUGGAGCAGAUAUUGUUAAAGGAAAUGAAAUCUUCAGUCUUGGGAAGAACUGGAGAGAAUCAUGAUGGCCAAGCGUCAGAUGAUAGUUUUUUGCCUGGUCUUCAUGAUGACACGGCAUUAGAUAUCUUUGCUUGGAGCUGCAGAUCAGAUUACCCAAAUCUGGCUUGUGUGAAUAAAAAAUUCAAAGCACUGCUUGGAAGUGGAUAUUUAUAUAGAUUGAGACGGCGGCUUGGGGUUAUGGAACACUGGAUUUAUUUAGCUUGUAUUUUAAUGCCCUGGGAAGCUUUCGAUCCCAUCAGGCAAAGAUGGAUGCGAUUACCUAGGAUGCCAUGUGAUGAAUGUUUUACUUAUGCAGACAAGGAGUCUCUUGCGGUAGGGACUGAACUACUUGUUUUUGGUCGUGAGCUGUCAGGAUUUGCUAUCUGGAUGUACAGCUUACUUUCUCAUGAAUGGUCUAGAUGCCCUCCUAUGAGCUUACCUCGUUGUCUAUUUGGUUCAAGUAGCCUUGGAGAAAUUGCCAUUAUUGCUGGGGGAAGCGACAAGAAUGGACGCAUUCUUAGAUCUGCAGAGCUUUACAAUUCUGAACUAGGUGUGUGGCAGAAUUUACCAGAUAUGAACUUGCCACGUAAGCUGUGUUCGGGCUUAUUUAUGGAUGGGAAAUUUUAUGUCAUUGGGGGUAUGUCAAGCCAAACAGAAUGUUUAAGUUGUGGUGAGGAGUAUAACCUUGAGACAAGAAUAUGGAGGAGGAUAGAGAACAUGUACCCUGUUUCCAGUGUGGGUCAUCCUGCCAUGCGUUCUCCGCCUCUGGUUGCUGUUGUAAAUAAUCAACUUUACUCUGCUGAUCAAGCAACAAAUGAGGUCAAGAAAUAUGACAA
rnacentral:misc_RNA from 1 species